GGUCCGUUCUGCUGCAGUGCCACCAUGUAGGCAAUAAAGUGAUGUCAAGAGCAGGUAUCUCCCUGCUCCUCUUUACUAUUCCUAAGCUGUCAGUUUUCUGUUAUUUUAUAUUUUAUAGUUAUAUUUACUUGUUUUGUUUUUCAAAGCUAGAAUUGCAAAAUUACCCCUAAAUUAAAAAAAAAUCAUGUCAGAAGUGACUUGAGGUAAGUCACUUCUGGUGUGAGAGAAUUGGCUGUCUACAGAGACGUUGUCCAGGGGACACCUGGAUGCGUUACCAUCCUACUGAGAGGCUUUUCUCAUGUCCCCACAAGCUAGAACUGACAGACGGGAGCUCACCUCAUCUCGCAGAUUCAAGCUGGCAACCUUCAGGUCAACAACCCAACCUUCAGGUUGGUGCAUAUAUUGGUCCAUGGAGGGAGUGCUGUGGUGUGGCAAUGUAUGAAGCAACAAAAGCUGGGAAUUAGAUUAUAAAUGUCUUGGCCACACACCACAUUUAGUUAUGGAAACCUACUGGACAACCUUGAGGAAACCACACUGCCUCUACCCAGAAGAAGGCAAAGGCAAAUCCUCUCUCAAGAAAUUCUGUCAAGAAACCUCUUGCCUGUCAACCUUGAUUGCAAUUCAGUUGAAAGCACACAACAUCUCAUGUGAAAAUUAAUGGCUAAAGUACACAGGCUCCUCUUGGGUAGGUGGGGGUUUAUAGGCUCAUAUUUUUUUAAUUCAACACAUUAUUUUUUGACUCACACACCAGCUAUCACAUAUCCUCCAACUGUAGCCAUUCCCUUUGUCCCUUUUUGAUUACAAUAAGAUUUACAAAGGCUUCUGGUUUUGCAGCUGCUUUCAUUCUCUCUUCUUUCCCAACCUGACCCUAGUGGGUUUUUUCAUGUUUGUUUAGCUGUUGUAAGAGAUCAUACUAAAACUAUUUCACUCCAUAUUUAUAUUCGUCUCUGAAUCUACCAGUUUAAAUUUUCAUUAAUCUAGACAGAUUUUCAUUUAGCAACAUGCCUAGAUAUAAUUAUCUAUACUUUCGAAAGCACACGCCAUUGGUUGCAAAAUAAAAUAAAGUUUAAAUGUCAAAAAACUUCACCUAAGUGAACUGUUCACAUUUCCUACUUUAUAUCAACUUGUUGACUUUAAUUUAUGCAUGUGAUCCUGAUGAGCUUACAAGUACUUAAAGAUCAAAAUCACAUUUAUUUCAUUAAAAAGAAAGGUACUUACCUGCUUUUAGGCAAUUUGUUUUUAUUUAAUUAAGGAAGACAGCACUUCUUUGAAACAUUAUCAAAUGGCUGCUCUUUUUUUAAAGUAGAUGGAGUGCAACCACAUGAAUAUGCCUCUCUUAUAAAAUGUAUUCCAGCCUUCUCCAACAUGGUGCACUCUUCAUAUUUUGGAAUAUAGUCCCCACGAUAAUUCAUAAUUAGCCAUAUUGGUUGGGGCUAAUAAUCCAAAACAAUUUCCUGGAUAAAAUUCACUCAGGGUGCUUCAACACUGUAGAAUUAAUACAGUUUGAAACCAUUUUAGCUUUCAUGACUUAAUGCUAUGGAGUCAUAAGAAUUGUAAUUAUACAAGGUCUUUGCAUUUGUGAAGUCUUGGCUCUGCCUUUUCCUCUCCUUUGCUUCAGUUCCCUCUGUUUAGGUUUUCCCAAUAGUGUAGACACCUCCAUUUGUAUUAGUUUUGGGGUGGAGCAUAAAACCCCCUAGAGGCCAGUCUUAGUUGGUCUGUUCCAUUUGCCUGUUCAGAGCUUUCUUGAUAGGCCCCCUUUUUCUUUCUUCAUUAGAGCUACAGUGAUUAGAGGCCUGGUUAUUGUCUGGUAAUCUUAGGCCUGGCAAUCCAAACAGGCAUCCUUAGCAGCUGCAUUUAGCAGUAUUCAUAUACCAUCAGUCCCAGAGACAACAGAAGCUUGUGGUCAGCCCAAGUUUCACAAAGUAGAAGACCAUGACAACUUAUAAACACUAGUUUAUAAUCCAUCGCUUUACAUCAGAGGCAAAAAAACUUUUAAGGAUUCCAGAGAGAUUACUGCAACCAGCAAAAUCUCCUUUCGUAAUGCAUUGUUUUAUCUCAAUAAGUUCCUUGUCUUUCAGAUCUCGCUGCAGGUGAUACUUCAUAUCAGCUUUCAUGGUGUGUGAAUUAUCUCCUUUCCAGUCUGUGUGAGAUAUGCAUGAUCCAGUGAUUCCAAGUUCCUCUAGCAAUUGGCAUGGUCACAUAUAUUCCUUUGACAGCUGAUACACCUUCUUUAGCAAAAUGCUACACAUUUUUUCUUGUUGAACCAGUUUAUUGUUCCACUUUUAUAGAAGAACACAUUCCCCCCAGGAGAUUUGCCAGCUGAAGGCUCUCUAGUAGUGUUUGCAUCUGUAAAAACCAUUUUAAUCUUGGAUGGCUGUUGGUUUGUAUCUUUAACUUUAAAUCUCUACCUACUCUUUUCACUCCAGUCCAAUCCUUUUUACUCUGAGAAUUGAUUUUUUUACAAAGAAUUCCAACUGCUAAGGCAAUAUCUGGUCUCAUGGUGAUGGCUAGGUAUAGUAGUUUUCCUACAGUAGGUCUGUAUUGUUUAUUGUUAUGAGAUAGUUCACUAUGUUUAUCUUUCUUGAGGUAGACUAUUUUCAUAGCUAUGGCCACUGGUUAGCCUCUUUGAGAUGUGGGUGUUCCAAGAGCUUAUUAAACUUUUGUCCUUGAGAUAGAGAUACCUUCCAUCUUCCUAUCUUUAUUGUGGCAUCUCUUACUACAAGGGCAAAGGUCUGAUUAUAGCUCUUGCUAUAUUUCUGUGAAUCAGCCUUUGCUAUAAAUCUGGCUUUGGAUUGCUGGAUCUCCCUUCUCCAUCUUAUUUGACUUUGAUGACCCAUUUGGACCGUUCAGUCAUCUUGCCUAUUGAUAGCCCUGUGAUUGUCCAGGUUUGAUUUUUAUGAAGGACCUGUAUUUCGUCUUAUUCAUCUUUUCUUUACUUAACAUAUUCUGCUGCAGGAAAUAUUUAAAUGUAUUUCCAGGCUACAGGUUCAUAUGGUGUCACUGUUUUUGUGAGGUAGAACAGGUAUUGAGAUGAUAUUCCUUUAUUUGACACAUUCACCUUUCGGCCCAGACUUGUGUUUGAUAUACCUGUUUUAACAUUUUAUCUUGUAAGAUUGUCCUUUUGAUUGUUUUACCGAUAUUGUUGAUUUAUUGUUGUAAAUUUGUGUUUUUGUUUUGAUUUUAUAUUGUGAUGUUGGGCAAGACCCCAUGUGAGCCGCCCCGAGUCCCUUCGGGGAGAUGGGGCGGGGUACAAGAAUAAAUUAUUAUUAUUAUUAUUAUUAUUAUUAUUAUUAUUAUUAUUUAGCUGGGAUGAGCAUCUGAAGUCUGUUUGUGCAGUGAUUUCCAGCUCUGAACCUCCUCCUAUAGCUCUACAUCCCUUUUUCUUUCUGUAAGGGUAAAUGUAAAGGUUUUCCCCUGACGUUAAGUCCAGUCAUGUCUGACUCUGGGGGUUGGUGCUCAUCUCCAUUUCUAAGCCGAAGAGCCGGUGUUGUCUGUAGACACCUCCAAGGUCAUGUGGCCGGCAUGACUGCAUGGAGCGCCGUUGACUUCAUCUCUGUAAUUAGACCAAAAAUACUGUUAGCUUUUCUGUAUUGAGAUGGUGUAUGGUUUACAUUUGUUCCCUGUGUCUCAUCAAAGUACACAACAUUUUUCAUGGUAAUUCUUCCUGUUUUUGGAUUCAGAGUUCUGCAUUCUUUGCCUCUGGGCUCAUACUCUACUGUAAUGCUUUCUUCAGAGCUGUCAUCUAGUUUUGAACUUUUCUCCUUUGGUAGAUGAGCAUAACUCAUGGAUCCCAAUGCUCUGAUAUGUUCCAUACUUGGCUAUCUCCCAUGGACAAAUUGAGUUUUGGGUUGGGCUUAUUCUAUUGUCAUGUAGCCUACAGAUUAUGUAACACCACAGCCAAUAGUGGUUGAUUUCCACAGUAUUGGUUGGUUAAUUUAAAAGUACUGCAGGAUAUAUCUCACUAUUUCCUUUAAUGACUUAUUGUUUCACUCCACAACUGUAUUUUUGUCAGAUGUGUAGGGAAUUAUGUUCCUACUUAUAAUUACCUGCUCGUUCAUGCAUAUUUGGGUGCAGUAUGACAUGUACUCAUCAGCAUUGUUGGUCUAGAGAGCUUGAAUGUUUCUACCAAAUUUGUUAUUCAUAAUGGCAACACGUGUGACAAGCGCUGACUUUUCUCUUUGAGCAGAUAGGUCACACAGUAUUUAGAAUAAUCACCUACAAAUGUUAGUAAGC
ensembl:lncRNA